rnacentral:rRNA from 1 species
GACGAACGCUGGCGGCGUGCUUAACACAUGCAAGUCGAACGAUGAAGCUGGAGCUUGCUCCGGUGGAUUAGUGGCGAACGGGUGAGUAACACGUGAGCAAUCUGCCCUUGACUCUGGGAUAACUGCGGGAAACUGUAGCUAAUACCGGAUACUUUCACUGGAAGGCAUCUUCUGGUGAAGAAAGAAUUUCGGUCAAGGAUGAGCUCGCGGCCUGUCAGCUUGUUGGUGAGGUAACGGCUCACCAAGGCGACGACGGGUAGCCGGCCUGAGAGGGUGACCGCCACACUGGGACUGAGACACGGCCCAGACUCCUACGGGAGGCAGCAGUGGGGAAUAUUGCACAAUGGGCGCAAGCCUGAUGCAGCAACGCCGCGUGAGGGAUGAAGGCCUUCGGGUUGUAAACCUCUUUUAGCAGGGAAGAAGCGAAAGUGACGGUACCUGCAGAAAAAGCACCGGCUAACUACGUGCCAGCAGCCGCCGCCG